rnacentral:lncRNA from 1 species
CUGAGGCGUGUGUUAUUACGUACACAUUUGACAACACGGUGGGCAGGCACAAACAUCGCGCUGGCGUUGAUGGACAAGCUGGUUGUCCAAAUCGUCAAGAACUUCAUGGACCUGCCAAGGACAUAAUGGGCACGCAGUAACACACGGCGGCCCCACAUGAUUAGGGACCGUUUGUUUUAGCUUUUUGGAGGUUUUGUACUUCAACUUUUAGAUUUCUUAAAAGUCAAAUAACUCCCAUAGGUACAAAAUCUUCAAGAAGCUGAAAUAAAUAGUGCCUUAGUCGGCUAACGUGCCAUGUCUACGUCAUGACUACGACACACCCGUUGGUCCAGCACAUGCCCAUUAUCUAACCGGAUCUAUUGGGUCGUGUUCUAAACGGGCUAUAUCGUGAUGGUUGGCCCAUGUCGUGUUAAGCUGAGGCUGUCUCCAGCAAGGGCCUGUAAACGGUUCUGAACUCUAAAUAUAGAGGACUGUCAGGUCCUCUAAGGCUCCAGCAAGGGUCUCUAUAGCAUCCUCUACAUUUUAGAGGAUGUGGCAGGCACUCUAAAUGUGGAGGGCUCCGGCAGUGCGCUAUCCGCGCUCUUCGUCCACCAGCCGCCGCCAGGAAACUUCCGCGCAUUCGUACCCCGCGCUGGCGACUGCGUCUUCCGGGGCCGAGCCCUCGAUCCGGCGCGCUUCGCCGCCGGCAUCGAGGCAGGAGGGCGAGAAGCGGCCGUGCGGAGGGGGAUCUGUCGGCGAAGAGCUCGCAACCCUUGGAACCGAGGCGGCGCGACCCACCGCAACCGAAGAUCCAAGCCAGCUUCCCCCUGUUCGUCGGCGGAGAGUCGCCAUCGGCAAAAGGCUUCAUCGUCCGCCGACUUCGUCGAAGGCAGCCGCCAAAAGGAAGAGAAGCUCCUCGCCGCCGUCGUCUUCGUCUUCGAUUCGGUCCACUGAGCCAGAUCCGCGAAGAGCGAGGUACGAAUUACAGAAAUCCUUGGAGAUAAUAAGUACUUAUUAAUGAUUACCGUAUUGUAUUGUUCGUACUCGGUGGUAUGGAUUAGGGUUUCUGGGAUGUUUAGGGUUUACGAUCUUAAUGCGCUUCAAUUUCAUGGAACAAUGGCUUAUUGUUCCGUCCGGAUGCAUAAAUUUAGACCGCAUUUGCGGGAUCCAUUUUGGGUUUGGGGGGGUUGUUCGUCCCCUAAGAUUCGGUUCUGUCCAGAUUCAAAUUACUGAACAAUAAUUUUGUAUGCGACCAUGGUAACCUAAUCUGCAAAUUUAUAACAGGUUCACAUAGAUGCAAUAUAUAACAGGUAACCUAAUCUGCAAAUUCUAACUGUGUACUCAUAGUUUGGAAUACCUUCGAUUGAGUAGUUCGUAACAUACGUAAAUUGUAGUCGGUGUUAACUAAUUGAACACUGUGUUUGAUGUAGCCAUGGAUUCGGAGAACGAAAAGCUCCGUAAAGCACUGGCUACUCUACUCAGAGUUGUUCAAAAGCGUAGUUGUGACAUCGUUGAUGUCGUCACAUCAGCCUUCCAGCCUUUCAACUCACCUUUGGUCGACGAAUUUAACCGAGCACUAGUUGAGAUUGACGACCUCGCCAAGGAUCUUGAAGACGUAGCAGUGCAAACUCAGUGGGAGGUAGAAAAUAUGGCUAAGAGUGAAGUGAAAGAACAUCCACAACAAGAGGAAGCAGUAGAGGACCUUCUCAUACAUGAUGGUUCAGAAGACGAGCUACUGAUAGACGAAGAGUCACCAAUUAACUAUGAAGACCUUGUGGGCUACGACGAUGGUCGUGACUACUCAACCGACGACACAUAUCCGUACUAGUGUUGUAGGUUAAACUUCAGUACAAGUAUUGUAGCAUGUUUAGGUCUAUGUUCAGCUGUAGUUGUCGGUUGGUAUGUUCAUGCUUUUGGGGGAGUUUAAUGUUCUGGUCUAUGUAAACUGAAUCCGGUUCAGUUACUACAAUAAUUAUUGUGUUAUGUUGGACUAUGUUUGCCUUACUUUAUAGGGCCAAUUCCCUAUAUGCCACUGGGAAAUAUACUCAUUCCUUGUAUGCCACUGGCCCCACAUGUCAUAGACACCAAAAAAUAUACCUAUAUGCCACUCAAUGGCACACAAGGGAUGAGUAUAAAAUCUGAUGGCAUACCAGGAAUUUUCUCUACUUUAUACCAUGUUACAUGAUGACUACAUGCUCAUUUAUGUCAUGUUUGAUCUGCCUGUAUUCAAUAGAAUGGGUAGUGAUUGGAACCAGGUGAUGUCUCAAUAUGGAAGCUUCCUUAGCCAGAUUGACGAGCAGCCUAUCGGAACACAAUAUUCUGAAUUUCCAGUUGAUGGGCAACCCGAGGGCUCAAGAACACCAGCUGUUACUAAAAAGGCAACUCAAAGAACUAAGCUAGCAAACUUCACUGCUGAAGAGGACACAAGGGUAUGCCAUGCAUGGCUUGCUGUUAGUUGCGAUCCCAUUAUUAACACAGGGCAGAAACGUCAAGGAUUUUGGAGUAGAAUUACUGCAGCAUACAACUCAAGACGAGGAACAUUGCCAGAAAGGUCCACAAAAUCUUUGAUGAGUAGAUGGGAUACUAUCAAAACACAGUGUUCCACUUUUGCUGGAUACAUGAUGGCAGUCCUCCGACAGAAUCCUAGUGGACUCAGUGACGCAGACAAGGUACAUCUUUCAUGUAACAUUUUGACAUCAGUAUUUAGAGGUUUUUUAGUAGGUUCAUGUUGUAACACUUUCUUAUGUCUGGCAGACAUCACUGGCAGCUUCUAGGUUUGCAGCAAUUGAGAAGAAGCCUUUCCACUUUUUACACUGUUGGGCUAUUCUUAAGGACCAACCAAAAUGGAUGGACAACCACAUGGGUCAACAACAGCAGCAAGCCAACGCUAAUCCCACACAUUCCAACACUGUCGAUUUGGAUGCUGAAGAAUCUGUACCAUCAAGCUUCACAUCAAAGAGGCCCCUUGGUCGAGAUGCUUCGAAGGAAAAGGCAAAGAGGACUAAAUCUGUGGACACAUCUUCAUCAGAUUCUGAGUUUAUGACACGCAUGGGUGAUCUUUCUUUGGAGCGCCUGUCAGUGUACAAAACAGCUGUUUCAACUGAGGAAAAGAAGUUGGAUUCAAUGAACAGAAAUGAGAGGCAGAAAUUGCUCCUAGAAAAGAAGAAGCUGAACCUGGAGAAAAUAAGGCUAGAAAGGCAGAAACUAAAGGAGGACAAGGAAGAGGAGAUAAUGAUCUUAAGCAUGGAUUUGAGCAAAUGUAACCCUCUACUCCGCCAGUACUAUGAAGCCAAGCAACAAGAGAUACUGGCAAGGGUUACUGGGUCUACUUCAUCUGGCCAGUGAAGGUUCAUUAGUUACUAUGUUUGUUUGUCAUUUAUGAAUGAGGCGUACUCGGACUUGUUACUGUGAGCUUGCUGUCGUGAGACCCAAAUCUGGUUUGUACCAGAUUUUUUUUUAGGUCGUGUUUCAACUAUUUGUUUUGAAGUUAUUGUUUUGAACUAUUUGUCAUGGUUUGUACCUGAAUGUUUUACUAUAUGUGUUGAAGUAUUUGGGUUCAUGAUCUGUGAGCUUGGUGCAGUUUAUGUUUACCAUUUGUACACACAUGUGCUUGCAUGACAGUAGUACUCCUUGUUAUUGAAUUGAAACAGCAGCAUGAGACACUACGACACUUGAGCACUAAGACACACAGUACACACACUUGAUAAGAACAAACAUGACACUAACACAGACAGUAGAACAAUGUAAAGUAAACAAAGACACUAACACAGACAGAACUUGUUUCAUUGCAUCCUAUGCAACUCCGGAUCCAUGUCGCGCCCAGUGAUGGUGUAUCAGAUCUAUCUGAAGCUGAGUAUAUUUGUUGCGGUCUUUCAGUUGGUUGUACCUUUGAUUGACGAAGUCGUUGCGCUCUUCCAGUGAACCUUGAGUUGUGUCUGCCAGCACUCCGAUGUUUUCAAAGGUUGUGUUCAAAGACAAUGGACCUUCGUCUUCUACUAUCAUGUUGUGCUCAGAUGCCUUUUGAAAAGGUUUGAACGGUGAAGAACAUUUAUGUCGUUGCAACUACCUGGCAGACCAAAAUAUGCAUGCCAUAUCCACAGGUCAUACGACGCAACAGCUUCCAAGAUCAUGGUAGGAUGUUUACCACGCCCUGUAAACAUCCCCUUCCAUGAACUUGGGCAGUUACGCCACUCCCAAUGCAUGCAAUCAACACUACCAAGCAUACCAGGAAACCCACGUGACUCGCCAACUUGGAGAAGGCGUGCGAUAUCUUCUGCAUUUGGUGCACGGAGAUAAUAGGGAGCAAACGCGGUUUGGACGGCCGUGCAAAAGUGUUUCAAUGCUUCAUGAGCAGUAGAUUCCCCAAUACGUACGUAUUCGUCAACGGCAUCAGCCGGAAUACCGUAAGCAAGGAUUCGAACAGCAGCAACAACUUUCUGUAGAGCAGAAAGACCAAUCUCACCCGCACAAUUUGGACGCUGAAUAAAAUAUGGAUCCACUUGUUGCACAACAUCAACAAGGCGCUCAAAGACAUGGCGACGCAUGCGGAACCUACCAUACAAUUCAUGUGUCAUAAUAGGGGUCAUGAAGUUUUGUACAUGGUAAAAAGAAUGUGGUAAUUGUAAAUACCUCCUACGAAAUUGAGCAUCCGUGUACACCGGGUUCGCUCCAAAGUAGUCCGCUCGGAUUCUUGCAUCGCCGCUGAUGUGAUCACGAUGAAUCCUAACACGCCCUGGGAUGGAACCACCAUGACGACGCUCAUUGUGUGCACGUCGCCUCCUAUUGACCAUGUGCCUCGCCAACUGCAACUCUUCUUCUUCCUCUUCCAUUUCUUCCAUCAAGCGCACAAGAAAAUUGUUUUCUAAGUAGGGAUUCAUGGUUGUGGACUUUGGAAAUGCAAGGUUGAGUGAAGUAUGCAAGGCUCACUUCGUAUUUAUAGAGGAAGUACGCUUCGGAUACAAGCCAUUCGCUUGUCGUGCAAGGGAAGCUAGGCUAUGGCUUCUCGAAGAAGAGUACUGGCUUACGGUGCAAGCUUGUCCAUUUGAAAACAUAUUUUGGCAACGAUAUUAUACUAUGUUGCGCGUUACCGACAACAAUUACAGAACAUCAAAACAAGCAAUGUAAUUAUUAUUGAUAUUUCGAAUUUAUUGGUUAAAAAAUUAAUAAAUACAUUUUUUCGUAUCAUUUAUAUAGUGUCAAAUGAGAAGAAAACAAAGAAAAAUGUAAAAGAAAUGGAAAAUGUGAAUCUGUUAACACUGUAGCUUUAGGGGACGGAAUUUAGAGGACGCUGCUGGAGACGGAGAAUAUAUAGAGGACAAAAUCUUUUAGAGUGUUCUGUAAAGGACAGAGAAUAUUCCUUUAGGGGACGAAAUUUAGGGGACGCUGCUGGAGACAGCCUAAACUGUCGUUUAGUCAUCUAUAAGUUUCCGGGGUGUUUAGAUCCCUAGACUAAAGUUUAGUCCGGCUUUUAGAUGCCUACAAGGAGGACUAAAUCUGUGAUAAUUAUAAAACUAAUUAUAUAAGUUAUUGCAAAUUCACGAGUUGAAUGUAUUAAGUCUAACUAAUCCAUGAUUAACCCAUAUUUUGCUACAGUAAAAAUGUGUUGCUCAUGUAGUAAUUAGACUUAGGUUCUGUUUGGUUCAGAUGUAGAUUUCUCAAAAUUUGAUUUUAGUUGUAAGCUAUGAGAAAGCUGUUGUGAGCUCAGAAUUGUGAAAAAUCGAUUUUUGUUUGGUUGAAACAACUAUUAACUAUAGGGUUUAUAAGAGCAUGACAACUUGCACCGACAACAUAAAUCUAGAAAAUCUAGGGUAUGAGAUGAUUCUAAAUUAAAAUAGAGGAAUCUAUAGAUUUUUAAAAACUUAUUCUAAACCAAAGACAUCAUAGUCGUGAGGACCGUCUUUUUUUUGCAAUUUGGCCAUUUUUAGUUUUUUCAUAAAUAUGUUAUUUGCAAUUUCAUUUAAAAAUGAACACUAAGGUCAUCGCCGUCGCAAUUGGCAUCAACCUUAGACGGCUCAGCGCCAAUGUAAUUGGCACCUAGGACCCUUCCAGCCACAUAGACGUGGCGUGGCGGCUGCAUGGCAUCCACGUGUCCAGGGUCAGCGCCAAGAUCUAUGGCUGAAAGGAAAAUAUGUUUUUGGGCCAUUUCUAUUUUGUUUUGGUGAUUAAAUGCUCAACAUAUUGUGUUGGACUAACAUCUUCUUGUAUAAGCAUGAGCACACGUAGUUCAAGCAAAUUGAGAAAAAAAGGCAUUUUAGGCUUAAAAUGGACAUACUACAAAUGGUUCCAAGUGAGAAAGCAUGCUUGUAGCAGUAGUGUUUGGUUGAAGAGCCAAGUAGAACGGAGCCGUUCUGUCCCAGUUUUGUUGUUGUUUGGUUACAAAGUAACUAGAACGGAGUGACUCCAAUUAGGGAAUAUUCUCCUCAGAUCCGGAACCAUCCCACUCCAAAAAAUCAAUGGGACGGAGCCGCUCCUUUCCCAGCCCACUCCCACAGAUCGCUCUCCCAUCCGUGCGCAGCAGCUCGCGCGCCUCCCUCUGCAACCAAACAAAAACAGAGCCGCUCCAUUCUAGUUCACUCUGCAACCAAACAAAAAACAGAGCCGCUCUGUUCCAACUUACCAAACACAGAACAGAACGGCUCUGUUCCUAGAAUCAAAGAUGGAACGGCUCCGUUCUACUUGGCUCCUCAACCAAACACUACCUAAUGUGGGGGACAGAUAUCCCCGGGUCCACUAGAAGGCUUGAAGACCUCGCGAAAGGCUUUGGGCCUGAUGUUUCGCAAGGCCAUCCCUUCGUGGAUCUGGGGAGGAACGUCUGGCGAAGUGGAUCAACACAAGAUCGGACCAACUCGAGCCCAGACGGCCCAACGGAUUUGAGUGACAUCCACAGCAGUAACCCGACUCUCCCGCGCUGCGUCCUCAGGCGUUGGAACUGAAUGGCGAUAAGUCGGUAGAAUCAUAGGAAGAUAGGCUCAGUCGGUUCACUAUUACUUAGGCAUACGUUGUUAUCAUAUCCGCAUGUAACACCCCACGAUCAAGUAUAUAAGGCCUAGAGGGCAUCCCCUCAAAAACAUCUCACUUCUUAGCCAUCUACUCAGCUCUCUAGCAUCUCUCGUACUAGAGAACUCCCUUGUAACCCACCACACAAAAGAUCCACACCAGGACGUAGGGUGUUACGCAUCUCAAAGCGGCCCAAACCUAUACAAGAUUGUCUACUGUCUCUCGUGCAUCUAGCACGAACCAUCGAGCUACAGUUGGUAACACCGUCCUACUCCAAAAAGCACCUCGAGGGGAAACCCUGGGUGCGUGGUCGGACCCAAAACACCGACAGCUGGCGCGCCAUGUAGGGGGUGUGUCACCGAUCCAAGCUAGCUCAAUGGCCAUCACUUUCCAGCACAAGAUCAUCCUCCGCCCUGGAUCCGUGUUCUGCUUCGGAACCAUUUCAUCCGUGGCAGACGAAGAGGGAACUAUACAUCGCAUCACGGAUCUGCCGGAGAGAAAACCUUCCUCGACAAUCUCCGGGAAAGCCGGAGCGAAGCAAGAAAAAGCGCAACCUCCAGCACUCCGAGCAAAGACUACCUCCUACAAGCCAGGAGCUGAGGAUCUGUCUUCCUGGAGAACCCGCUGUCCACCUCCUCUACGGAAAAAUGGACGCAGGUCACAAGGAAAAAGGAAGCAAACAAGGUGAAGGCUCGUCAAGCUGCUCCUCUGGUACCUCCGCCCUCAAAGGAGAACAAAAAGAAGCUUGUCGCUAUGACGGUUCCAUUCUACCCCGACGUCCUCUUCAUCGGGGGAAGAGUGGAAUCGACCCCUGUCUCCGACGAUGAACCAACCGCGCCGGGAGAGGAACCUCUUCAGCGGGAAUCUCGCCGACGAAGGAACCGACGCUGAAAUAUCCGGCAACAUCAUGAAGCCGGAGAGCGGGAUCCGGCACAGCCUAUGUCAUGAGAUGAGAUCUCGGAGGUAGGAGAAACUCCAGAAGAACGGGUCUUCAGGGAAAGAAGGAAUUCCCGGAGACGUGAUCAUCGGCAAGCUCAAGAGCAAGCCGAACAGGAGGCGAGACAACGCCGAGAGAACCCUCUUCUCAGACGGAACCUGAACCCCGACUUCGCCCGAGCCAUGAACACACCGAGUGAGGUCGGUGGAGUGUUGGCUCGGAUAUCUGAUGGCCUCCCCCGGACUCCAGAUGCUGAGGGCUAUCGGUGGCUGCUCACUCGGGCAGCUAAUCAUCUUCUACCUCUCGCCCAUCCACCGAGCGAUCUACGACACGCUAUCAACAGUCAGCGGGAUGCACGGAGCUCCAUCAACGCUUCACGUGAACGACAACACGAGAACGAGAUUCGGCGCCGAGAAGAGUAUGAUCGGGAUCACGGCAUCCCUGCGCGAAGUCAGGCCAACAGAGUUGAGUCGGCAACGGCUUCAACCGGCGGCAUGAUCCGGGGACGAUCGAGGCACCACAUCAACAACUCCCCUCCCCGGGACCGACAUCAUCAUCGUUGACAGGAGGACACAUGUGGAGUAUCGGUGCUCACUCAAUGUCUCAGGGCCAUUCAGUGCCCCCCUAACUUCAAAGUCUCCAACGUCGACAAGUACGAGCCUAAGCAAGACCUGGGAGGCUGGUUGGCUAUCUACACCACCGCUACCCGAGCUGCUGGGGCAACUGAAGAUGUGAUGACCUCGUACUUGCCCAUCGUCCUCGGGCAGGAUGCGCUACAAUGGCUACGACACCUACCCCGACACUGCAUCGACGACUGGAGCGACUUCAGUCGGCGCUUCAUCGCCAACUUCCAAUCUCUCUCAGACAAGCCGGCGCAGCCAUGGGACCUCAAAUCCAUUAAGCGCUGAGGGGAUGAGACUCUCCGGUCGUACCUCAAAAGAUUUCAGACCAUGAGAAAUCGUAUCCCCGAGGUUGCGGAAGCAACGGUAAUCGAGGACUUCUACCGGGGAUCUAAUGACUCGGCCUUCGUCCGAGCCAUACUGCAAAAGGCACCGACUACCUCCGAGCAGCUAUUCUGGGAAGCAAACCUCUACAUCACCGCCAACGAACGAGCUUAGGACCUCAUCGGAGGAGCGAAGCCUGCACCAGCGGCACCACGACGCGACAUGAACCAACAACCCGACAAGCGUUGGGAGAAGAGGCCUCAUGAAGAAGUCCACACCGCCGGACCACCCGCCUCUCGCGCCCGAGGAGCACCUCGCGGAGGCGAGCGUACGUUGGACGACAUCCUCGACGCCCAGUGCCUGUACCACAAGGACAUGCGUCACACCCUCUGGAACUGCAGAGACUUCAAGCACUCCGUUGGGAACGACCGACCCUUCCAACCUCUACCACCUCCCCCACCUUGAGAAGGACCCGGAGAACCUCGACAGCCUCAACAAUAGGAAGGGGGAGAAGGCGGAGCAUUCCCACGUGUCGACGGAGAAGUCAACGUCAUCUUCGGCGGACAUGAGUCGCAAGAAAGUAAGAGGCAACAGAAGCUCAACGACCGUCAGAUACUGGUGGCUACCACCGGUCCUCCCGCCCCGUAUCGAUGGUCCGAACACCCGAUCACCUUCACUCGGGCGGAUCAGUGGCUCAACUUCGAUCAUCCGUGCAAGUACCCGCUCCUCGUCGAUCCGGUGAUCCGAGAGAGCAGGGUAAAGAAGGUGUUAGUGGACGGGGGAAGUAGCAUCAACGUCACCUUCCCUCGGACACUUCAAGGCUUGGGAGUCGCACUCAAAGAGCUCCACGAGUCAGACACUCCUUUCUUCGGCAUCGUGCCGACUGAAGGAGAAUAUCCACUCGGACACAUCUACAUGUCGGUCACCUUCGGAACUCCGGAAAACUACAGAAUCGAGUUCCUGAGGUUCGAGGUGGCAAGCUUCGACUAUGGAUACAACGCUAUCAUCGGCAGGCCUGGAUUGGCAAAGUUCAUGGCCAUUCCGCAUUAUACGUACAUGAUAUUGAAGAUGCAUGGACCACAAGGAAUCAUCACUAUGCAUGCUGACUUCCAAGGCGCCGCAGAGUGCUUCUGAGUGGUCAUUCAGGUGGCCCUCACCACCAAACCAUCGACGACUACUUCUGCACAGGCGAACUCAAAGCCUGAGGAGGACCUCACAGUACCUGCAAAUGAAGCUCAAGCCGUGACCUCUAUGCGGCCGACUGAGGAAACCAAGAGAAUCAACCUCAGGUUUGCUAAUGAACGCAAGACUGCCAUCAUCAGCUCCAGCCUAGAUGACAAAUAGGAAAGUGCGCUCGUCCAGUUUCUGCAAGAUAACCGAGACAUAUUCUCAUGGCAACCUGUGGAUAUGUCGGGAGUCCCGAGAGAGCUGGCCGAGCACAAACUGAAGGUCUAUCCUCAUGCGAGGCCGAUCCGACAAAAGUUACGUCGUUUCAUGCCCGACAAGAGAGAAGCAAUCUGUGCUGAGCUAGCUCGCCUAGUCGCAGCAGGAUUCAUUAGAGAAGUACUGCAUCCAGAGUGGUUAGCAAAGCCUGUUCUUGUACUCAAAAAGAAUAAAGUGGAUUGGCGCAUGUGCGUUGACUAUACGGAUCUCAACAAACACUGCCCGAAGGAUCCCUUCGGACUUCCUAGAAUAGACCAGGUGGUAGACUCGACCGCCAGGUGUUCUGUGUUGUCUUUCUUGGAUUGCUACUCCGGGUAUCAUCAGAUCAGCCUCGCAAAAGAAGACGAGGAAAAACUGCAUUCAUCACCCCGUUUGGAGCUUUCUGCUAUACCUCCAUGCCGUUUGGCCUCAAAAACGCUGGAGCAACUUACCAGAGAGCCAUUCAGACAUGCUUAGCCGAUCACUGGGAAAGCGUGUAGAAGCUUAUGUGGAUGACGUGGUGAUCAAGAUAGAAAACUUCAUUGAAGAUUUGCAGCUGGUCUUCAACAGUCUGCGGCGAUAUCGGUGGAAGCUUAAUCCAGAAAAAUGUGUCUUUGGAGUACCAGCAGGAAAAUUGCUUAGAUUCAUUGUUAGCCACUGAGGAAUUGAAGCUAACCCAGAAAAUAUCGAGGCUAUCAUGAGGAUGGAAGCACCACGGUCAUAGAAGAAAGUGCAAAGACUUACUGGAUGCAUGGCAGCUUUAAGCAGGUUCAUAACAUGGUUAGGAGAAAAAGGCCUACUGUUCUACAAGUUGCUCAAGAAGGUGGACAAGUUCCAGUGGACCUUAGAAGCUCAGGAAGCCCUUGAUGCACCGAAGAAAUUCCUGACAACACCGCCAGUAUUAAAGCCGCCACGCCGAGCCACGCCGAGUCAACCGCCAGAAGAUCUGUUGUUGUACAUCUCUUGCACGACUCACGUGGUGAGCUCCGCGUUGGUAGUCGAGAGAGCAGAGGAAGGACAUACAUAUCUAGUACAACAUCCCAUCUAUUUCAUCAGUGAAGUUCUAGGGCCCUCAAAUAAGAAAUAUCCUCAAGUUCAAAAACUAUUGUAUGUAGUACUUCUAACUGCACGCAAGCUCCGUCACUACUUUGACGAUCACAAAGUCAUAGUAGUCACUGGAUCUCCAAUAGGGGAGAUUCUCCACAACAAAGAAGCCAUCGGAAGAAUAGCCAAGUGGGCCUGCGAGCUGGGAGCUCACGACAUCGAGUUUCGACCUCGCACUGCAAUAAAGACUCAAGCACUAGUUGACUUCGUAUCAGAGUGGACCGAGCAACAAGUGCCAGAUAAUUCGGAGACUGCAGAAGUAUGGCGGAUGUAUUUCGAUGGCUCGUUGAAGCUGCAGGGGGCAGGCGCAGGGAUCCUCUUCAUUGCACCUGGAGGUGAACAACUCAAAUAUGCUCUUCAGUUGUUAUUCUCAGCAUCCAACAAUGCAGCAGAAUAUGAAGCUUUGAUUCACGGACUGAACAUUGCCAUAUCACUGGGCAUUAAGAGAUUGAUGGUAUACGGAGAUUCACUGGUGGUCAUAAGUCAGAUAAAUAAAGAAUGGGAUUUCUCGAAUGACUCUAUGGGCAAGUACUGUGCAGCCGUCCAAAAGCUAGAAGACAAAUUUGAAGGGCUGGAAUUUCAUCAUGUGGAGAGAGAUCGCAACACGGCAGCAGACGCGUUGUCGAAACUAGGAUCCAGUCGGACCCAGGUCCCACCUAGGGUUUUCGUCCAAGAAGUACCACGCCCGAGUAUUUCCUUAGAUCGGGCAGAAGUGUGCAAUGUUCUGAGUCAGCCAGAGCUAGAUUCUAAUGACUGGAGAGAGCCGAUCAUCAGAUAUAUAAGGAAUGAAGAGGAACCAGAUGACAAAACUGCAGCAGAACGCAUCGUAAGGUAGUUAGCUCACUACACUCUCAUUGGGGAGGCACUGUACAGAAGGGGCGCAAUAGGAGUCCUCAUGAAGUGCAUUCUUUCGACUACUGGGAAGCAACUGCUAGAUGAGAUCCACGCUGGACAGUGCGAGAUACACGCAGCAUCCAGGACUCUGGUUGGGAAGGUCUUCAGGUCUGGUUUCUACUGGCCAACAGCAAAGAGUGAUGCAGCCGAGUUAGUCCAGAGGUGUGAAGCUUGCCAAUACUUAUCAAAACAACAACAUUUACCAGCGCAGCAACUGCAGACCAUACCCGUAACAUGGCCAUUUGCGUGCUGGGGACUGGACAUGAUUGGACCCUUCAAGAAAGCUCAGGGAGGAUACACUCACGUGCUGGUUGCCAUUGACAAAUUCACUAAAUGGAUAGAGUACAAACCCAUCGCUUCUUUGACUUCAGCUAAGGCAGUGGAAUUCAUACAAGAUAUAAUAUUCAGGUUCAGAAUACCGAAUAGCAUUAUAACUGACUUGGGAUCCAAUUUCACUAGCUCAGAAUUCUUUGAUUUCUGCAAACAAAGAAGCAUCCAAAUCAAAUAUGCGUCAGUAGCACACCCAAGAGCCAACGGUCAGGUAGAAAGGCCUAAUGGAAUGAUAUUGGAAGCACUCAGGAAGAAAGUCUUCAACAAGAAUGAAAAGUUCGUAGGAAAGUGGAUCAGAGAGCUGUCGUAUGUGGUUUGGAGCCUAAGAACUCAACCUAGCCGAGCUUUGCAUGGAAACACUCCCUUCUUCAUGGUCUAUGGUUCGGAGGAAGUGCUACCUGCCGAUCUCAGGUUUGGGGCACCAAGGCUGAUCUUCGAAAACAUAGCUGAGGCAGAAACUACUAGACUGGAGGAUAUUGAUAUAUUGGAAGAAGAACGAUUGAAUACAGUAAUUUAGUCAGCUAGGUACCAGCAAACCCUGAGGCGUUAUCAUGAUAAGGCCAUACGACAUCGAUCCUUCGCAGUGGGAGAUUUGGUCCUUCGCCGAAUUCUAACGGGGGAAGGACGGCACAAAUUAUCGCCACUAUGGGAAGGGCCAUUCAUGGUAGCAGAGGUCACUCGGCCAGGAUCAUAUCGACUUACUCAAAUGGAUGGCACGGAAAUAGGGAAUUCAUGGAAUAUAGAGCAUCUCAGGAAGUUUUACCCCUAGCUAGAUUUCAAAAGCUAUCGGGGCAGCAUUGUAUUCUGUAAUCGGAAAAUACAUCAUCAAUAAAAAGACUUCAUUCUCAAAGGCACUCGAACUAUUUAUUAUCAAUCUGCAUGCCUACUUAACUUAGGGUGACCACUAUACCCUACUAACGGAGCAAUCGGCUUAAGUCGGCAGUGACUUAAGACGGUGCAACAUGCUCACACUUACUUAACUUAGGGUGACCACUAUACCCUACUAACGGAGCAAUCGGCUUAAGUCGGCAGUGGCUUAAGACGGUGCAACAUGCUCACGCUUACUUAACUUAGGGUGACCACUAUACCCUACUAAUGGAGCAAUCUGCUUAAGUCGGCAGUGACUUAAGACAGUGCAACAUGCUCACACUUACUUAACUUAGGGUGACCACUAUACCCAACCAACAGAGCAAUCGGCUUAAGUCGGCAAUGACUUAAGGCGUUGCAACAUGCUCACGUCUACUCGACCUAGUAUAAACAUGCUUACGAUCACUCAUCUUAGGGUGAUCUCUAUGCCUCACAAAAUAAGGAGAAGUUUCAAAACCAGCACACUACAUUUACUUCUGCAAUCGUAACAACUGUUGAAUUCAAACAACAGAAAAACAAAAAUAGCAUCCAGUACCAAGAACAUGUUCUAAUAGAGUAUUCGGGCACAUUGAUCACAUGUACAUAUAGUUCAUGAAUGUAUUCAGUAUCUCUACUUGGCAAUGUUUUUCUCAGGAGCAACCGAUGAAGAAGGGCGACUCGAGGAGUCAGGAGCAGCUUCGACAUCGGCAACUAUAUCAUUAGGAACAACCACGCCCGACCUUCUCAUCAAGAUCCGCCCCGCGCGAAUGGCUUUAUCCAUAGCCUUGUCUCGCUGAGCCUUCAGAAUGGUGGAAUUGUCUUCGGCAACCUUGGUAGCCAGUCAGCUUCUAGCUCCUGGACGACUGAUCUCUUGGAGGCGCACAGAUCCUUGAUGACAGAGUCUUUGCUCGACACCAACUGCCUAAGACGAAGGACCUCAUCUUGGGAUACUUGCAGCUCGCGACGGUGAUGAUCCAAAUCUGCCAUGGUAAAAUGAUGGCUCCUCUCCAAGAUAGUCAGAGAAUUGCUGGCGUCACGAUACAACCUAUCAAGGUUAUCGCGGGAAGUCGCAAGUACACGUUUUUCCUCCUACAGACAAGAAUCAACUCUCAAGCAUCCAGUAAGCAGUAAAAACACAGCAGAGAAAGUCAAGUAAGCUUACCUCGUUAACCGCCCUUUCAGAGUCAAGCUGAGCACUAAGAGAGGAAUUCAAUGAGUUGGCAUCAUCUAAGGAAGCAGAAACCCGAGCCAGGGCGAUCUGACCUUGAGAAUACAUCUCCUCGAGUUCAGAGUACCGCCGGGUCAUAUCUAACAAAAAACAGUUGAAGAAGGACACUCAGUUAAAAAUAGACUAAUCAAGUAGCCAAGGAAGAAACAAAGACACUAACCAGCAUUUGUCAUUUUCAAAUCAGAUAUCUGCUUCUGAAGCAGCAUCGAAUUCCAUUGCAUCAGAGACAGAGCUCCUUCUGGGACAGAGGCACCUUGUGAUCUCAAUUGACCAGCCAUCCCGUCUACCAAAGCCUGAUAUUGAAAACAAAUGAGUACAAAGACAGUAAUUUGCCUGGAGUAUAGCUAGAACAGGAAAAGCCAAAUUACCUGAAGAUUGGAGAAGAACGAAGGAAAUCCCAAAUCACGAGAAGCCAGGUGGUGGCUCGGCGAAGGAAUAUCAACCGGGGCAAUCUGAAGAACAUCACCAGGGAUCAAUUCAACACCGCUAGCAGGCAUCAGAACUCUAGCAUCCGGUGCGCCGAUCUCUAAGGCGACUCCCUCAUUUGAAGCAUGCACUGUUACUAUACCAUCAGAAUGUGGAGGAGAAGACCCGACGUGGACAUCCAUGGAGGUAUGAGAAGGGGAGCCCGCUCGGACACCCUCGGGGGCUGGGUUACAGCCCGCACUACCCAUAGGAGUCGGAUCAUCACCGGCAACACCCUCGGAGGCUGGGUAACCGUUGGCACCAUCCUUGAGGAUUGGGUUCUCUGCAAUAGCCACCUCUAAGGCUGAAGGACUCUCAGUCACCUCCAUGGGAAUUGAACAACCUUGACCAGCCUCUUGGCUCCGAAGACCGCCUUCCAAGGUCGACGAGGCAUGAGACACUGCCCGGGAUACCUCUAAUCCCACAUCUGGAAUAUCAGAGCAAAUGUCCAUCAUAUCACCAUCAGUAGGCUCGGACAGCAAAUCUUCAGGAACAACAUCCUCGAGAGCCUGAUCAAAAUUGGCUAUGGAUAAAUCUUGUAGACCAACUAGAGCAGACGGAGCUGGAGAAGGAAUAUCGCUACUCCCCCCACUGACUCUGUAACACCGACUGUUCUUCUGAACUAAUGGGACUUCUUCUUCGUCCUCGUCAACAAUACGGACAAUAAACAGCAUAGGGUCACACCCAUUGGGUUCAGCUCUGGUAGGGUCACACCAUUGGGUUCAGUUCUGAUAGGGUCACACCCAUUGGGUUCAGUUCUGGCAGGGUCACACCCAUUGGGUACAGCAUCAGCAGGGUCACACCCAUUGGGAUCAGCUCCAGUAAAGAGUUCCACCGGUACUUCUUCAGCAGCAGGAGCAGAAGGGCCAGCAUCCUGAUCCAAGCACGACACUCGCCGAAGCCGUCUCUUUUUCUUUUUCUUCUCCUCGGUAGGUGCAGUUGGAUGACUGACCUAGCGGAGACGUUUCGGGCGAGUACCCUCAAGCCUUCGAGUAUCCAAGGUUUUUUCAGGCUCUGGGAUAGUUGCAAUAGCCAUUGUUUCAGCAGGGACCGAGUCAGAAGAAUCCCCAGCCAACAUGUCCAGCAUAGCACUUAUCUCUGCAUCACCCGGACUCAUAGGCAUCUCAAAGUGAACUUGCCUCUCAUCAUUGGGAAGAUCACCAAGUGAAGCAACCAGAACCUCAACUUCUUCGAGAGAGGGUCGCACUCUAAGACCCAAACCAUUGUCACUAGUAGGAGGAUUGGACACAAAAUCAAAAAAGGACUUGGAAGGUGGCAGAUUUCAGGCAGAAUAUGCAACAGGAGCACCAAUAUUUGAUACUUUGCCUCUAAGGAUCAUUUCCAGUCGGCUCACCAAAUCCACAGCAGGAAUCCUCUUGUUGGUAACCCGGGUUGAGUCGGUGACACCACUAUACAAAUAAGGUGGGUAUGCUCUGUCCUUCAGUGGCUGAAUAUUCUUAAAAACAAAGUUUACAACCACAGCUUCAACGAUUAGACCUCUCUCCUUCAACAAACAAAUUUCAGCAAGCAGAACCUUGGCUUCUGUUAUCUCCAAGUCUGUGGGAGACUCAAUCCAACUUGGGGCGCGAACAUCCGGUUGUCUCCCUGACCGAGGGGGGAGGGACUUGCCAUGGUUUUCCACAAUGAACCACUCUAAACGCCAUCCUUUAAUGCUAUCCUUAAGUGGGAUGUCAAGGUAUUCCGUUUUCCUCCCAUGGCGCAUCUCCAGGCUCGCACCACCCACGAGCUGGUGCUGCCCCCCAGCCAUCCCAGGACGACAAUGAUACAAGUACUUCCACAACCCGAAGUGAGGAAGAAUUCCAAGGUAGGCUUCACAUAGAUGAACAAAGACAGAAAUUUGCAGAAUAUAAUUGGGAUUCAGGUGAGUCAGAUUCAAAUUGUAAAAGUCAAGGAGACCACGAAAGAAGGGAGAAAUGGGAAGAGCAAGGCCACGGAUAAGAAAAGGGAUGUAAACAACGGACUCGUGGGUAUCCUCUGUCGGGACAGUAACCCCACGACAAAUCCGCCAAGAGCAAAGCUCCUUCGGAGGAAGAACUCUGAUAGAGACAAGGUGGAGAAGAUCCGACUCAGAAACAAUAGACAUAUGAUUACCUGCGAAAGGCAAUUGGCUAUUGAGAUCGAUAGGAGGAAUGACCGCAGCAGCAGAAUUCUGAUUCUUCCGCUUGGGCGCCAUCGUAAUCUCAUCGACGGACUGAGCGGAAGCGAAAUCAAAGGGAAACAGAGGAGGUUCGGAGGCAAAAAGUGAGGCUAGGGCUUAGAAUGCAGAGGCGUGCGACGACGUGAUACAAAUGGGGUUUUCCCGGGUCAGACACCGUUUCUAAAAAGUGCUUAGUCAUCACUCGGUCGUUAUUUCUAAAAUGCCGAUCUGGCCUGAUACGACUCGGUGGUUACUUCUAAAAUGCUGACGUCGCUAGUUAUCACUCGGUCGUUAUUUCUAAAACACCGACGUGGCUCAAAAUGACUCGGCUGUUACCUCUAAAACGCUGACGUCGCCAAGCACCACUCGGCUGUUACUUCUAUAACGCCGACGCGGCUCAGCAGGACUCAGAUGUUACAAUCUAAAACACUGACAUCGCCAAGAACCAUUCAGCUGUUACCUUUGAAGACACCGGCAAUAACUCAGCCGUUCUUUCUCUACGUAAAUGCAGGCAGAAUUAAAAUGCGACACAGCAAUUACAAGUCGUUACUCGAGCGUUAUCUCUAAGAACAACGACUGCGUUGGGCACAAAUACAAACUGUCGAUCGACUAUAAAGGAACGAUGGAAAGGCAAGAGAUGUGCACAGAACAAGCCAAAGUUUUUUUCAUUAUAUAAACGGGGAAGUUCUUCCACAAACUUAAAGACCGACUCAUUAUGAGCCGGUCUUCUUCCCACUUUUCGAUACAUUACAUUACUACAUUACAUUACUACAUUACAUUACACUACGCUAUACUACUAACUACUACUACAUUAUUCCACUAAUACUACUUCUACUACUAUUUAUCUAUACUAAUAUCUAAGCCAGUGGCGCUUUGCCAUUGGCCUUGCUGCUGCCGCUGCCGCCCUUGCCGUCGCCCCUGCCACCGUCGCCGUCACCAUCACCGCGCCUCCAUCGUCGUCGUCGCUGUCACCGCCGCUCCCCUCCUCGGAUGAAUCAGAGGAGUUCUCCUCAUCCGAGGAGACCUCUGACUCAUCUGAGCCCUCGAACCCGGAGCGCUCGACGGCCCGGAUAUAUGUCCACACCUUAGCGGCGAUCCCCUGGGAAUCGUCCGAGUCAUCGGACGAUGCUGGGGGAGAGGUGUAGACUGGCGACCCCUCGGACUCGGAGGAAAACUCCUCCUCCGAGUACUCGGAAUCGCCGAAGUCCUCCGAGGGAGGGGUUGGCUCGCGUUUCCGCUUGUCGCCGGAAUGGUGCGACAAACUUCUGCCUUUCUUGCUCUUGCCCAUGGUGGAGUAGAAGAGAAGAGAAAAGAAGAGAGUAAGCAACAAGCGGCAGAGAGAUGUGUGAAGACGCCAGUGAAGCAAGCGCUCUAUUUAUAGAGGAAGAAGGCAACCGCUCAUCUCCUACCACGGUCACUGAACAGUCGCAAAUAUUCAAUAAGCAAUUCAAAUCGUCUGGAAACAAGUCAGACGGCUAACACCAUUUCACGUAACACGACACCCAUUGGGACUCAAGUCAACUGCUUGGACGGAUUACACCCGCGGUCACGUCAAGUUACUACUCAGGGGCAGUUCGCUUAACGCUCAGCGCACCAAGUCGUCCCUUGCUUACACCCAUUGGGUGGGGACAUCCAGGAAUUUUCAAUAGAUUUUCCCAAGCAGUCACAUCCAUACAGUAUACGCAAUGAAUGUAUCAAGACAGAAGGAAGAUAUCGAUGGAGAUCGGAGGAAAGCCAAAAAUAGCUGAUGAAGUACAAGUCUAAUCAACAAAAGCAUUGAAGCACGAAGCGAAAUGAAGACCAGCCAAGGGCCAUCUACCGAAUGUCCAAUCUGUCGCAGAUCAAAUAAAUUUCAAACCUAAUAAGACAUGGGUAGACCGCGUUGUUGAUCUCAAAGGCAAAACCGUAUGCUGAUCUCUAAAGCAUAAAGCUGAUGAUAUAAUGUUGAAUUAUAAGGCAUUCAGCGAGGAUAAAAGGAUGAUUUCUAAAAGCAUGAGAUGAAGACCUUUGAGUUGAUUAUUUUUAGUAAUCCACUCAAAGCUCGCGGGCUACACCACCCAAUGAAUCAUUAACCCCAAAAGACAGAAUGCUGAUCUCUAAAGCAUGAACUAACGAUAAAAUGCUGAUUUCUAAAGCAUGAGAUGAAGAUAAGACAAUGUUGAUUUCUAAAGCAUGAGAUGAAGAUGAAAAUGAUUUCUGAAAAGCUUGAGAUGAAGACCUUCGAGCAGAUUAUUUUCAGUAAUCCACUCGAAGCUCAGGGGCUACACCCAUUGGGUGCACCUUCGGUGCACCCAAUGAAUCCUGAACCCCAGAGAGCAGAAUGUUGAUCUCCAAGGCAUAAGCCCGAGACAAAGCACCAAUUUCUGAAGAAUAAAGUGAAGACCGAUGAAUAAAGACAGUAGAGGAUAAUAGAAGAUCGUUUUUACCAAGUUACUCAGAGUUCAGAAGCAACAACUCGAUAGGCCCGUUUUCAAGGUAUUCCUUAUCAAAAUCAAAAACAACAAGCUGGACCUAGAAUCUUUGGGCCGAUUACUUCAAAAUCAACUCAAAGAUUGGGGGCUUGUGGGGGACAGAUAUCCCCCGGGUCCACUAGAAGGCUAGAAGACCUCGCGAAAGGCUUUGGGCCCGAUGUUUCGCAAGGCCAUCCCUUCAUGGGUCUCGGGAGGAACGUCUGGCGAAGUGGAUCAACACAAGAUCGGACCAACUCGAGCCCAGACGGCCCAACGGAUUUGAGUGACAUCCACAGCAGUAACCCGACUCUCCCGCGCUGCGUCCUCAGGCGUCGAAACUGAAUGGCGAUAAGUCGGCAGAAUCAUAGAAAGAUAGGCUCAGUCGGUUCACUAUUACUUAGGCAUACGUUGUUAUCAUAUCUGCAUGUAAUGCCCCAUGGUCAAGUAUAUAAGUCCUAGGGGCAUCCCCUCAAAAACAUCUCACUCCUUAGCCAUCUACUCAGCUCUCUAUCAUCUCUCGUACUAGAGAACUCCCUUGUAACCCACCACACAAAAGAUCCACACCAGGACGUAGGGUGUUACGCAUCUCAAAGCGGCCCGAACCUAUACAAGAUUGUCUACUGUCUCUCGUGCAUCUGGCACGAACCAUCGAGCUACAGUCAGUAACACCAUCCUACUCCAAAAAGCACCUCGAGGGGCAACCCUAGAUGUGCGGUCGGACCCAAAACACCGACACUUAGUCAAUUGUUUUAGAUACUAAUCAUACUUGUCUAAGUGUUAGGGACUAUAUGAAGUCGAGCCAAAAAGAGCAAAGAAAAGAUGGCACGAAAAAGAAACAUCCGGGCUGUUGUUCUGACUAUCACCGGACGGUCCAGCCGAACGGGCCACUCUCGGGAAAAAGCAGACUUUCUCGACUAUAAUUUAUCGGACAGUCCGUGUGGAGCGCCGGACAGUCAGGCGUGUUAGCCGACCAACAGUUACUUGACACGUCAGUAGGACCCAACGGUCAGGAAGUGCACCGGAUGGUCCGGUGCCCUUCAGAGCAGAAAGCAACCAAUCAGAGAUUCGUGACCGUUGUACUGUGCGGUGUCCGGUGUGACCGGACAGUCCGGUGCAGCCGCGGACAGAAGACAAUCAGGGCCUUUCAAAUGGAGCUCCAACGGCUCCUAGGUCCCUUGGGGCUAUAAAAGGACCCCCUAGACGCCAUGGAGCAGUACCUAAGCACUCUUUGAACACACUACAAUUUUGAGUCCUUGCGACCACACUAUUGUUUUUGCUAUACAUAGAUUUGAGUGCAUUCUUAAGCUGUAACUCUGUCGUUGUGUUUCGUGCACUCUCUCGUUUCACUUGUGUGCGCGUUGUUGGUGCGUUGUGCUUGUGUGUGCGUUUCUACUCCCAUCGUUACUCCGGUUUUAUUUGUAAUCAAUUGUGUAAGCCGUGAGAGACUCCAAUAUAUGGAGAUUCCUCACAACGAGAUUUUGCUAUAAGGAAGAUAUCUGUGACACUCAAGUUUAGUCUUUGGAUCACUUGAGAGGGAUUGAGUGCAACCCUUGACCAAAGGAGGCCACCAUAAUGUGGAGUAGGCUGUCACACCCGUUUCCCAAGGGCAGAGCCGGGUGCAUAGCAUAUGUGUGCCAGGAUCUAUUUCCACACAUAUGUUGACGUCACAAGUGUAAUAUAUCAAAAGAACAAUGCAUAAAAGCGUAAAUAACGAUUUUAUUAACAUAUUACACUUCGAACAUACAUAAUGUCUUAACCUUUAUUCAUCAAAGUACAGCGAAACAAGGACAUCCAUCCACAGGAAGAUGACCGGGGGUAUCACUAGACUAGCAUCCAUGGAGUUCAGCAUCAUAUCUUCAUCUGCAACUUCUGAUCAAAAUUUAAGCAAGGGUGAGCUCACUUAUGGUCGGGGCUCAGCAAGUGGGGGAAAAACUAAUGCAGAUAUAACAAGGUGAGGCUGAGGUUGAGCAGUAAGCAUUUUAGUUGGUCAACAUUUUAUUACCAACACCUGAUUACUAAUAAAUGUGAAUCCCAAGUAUUCCCAUUAAACAAAGGUAUAAGAGUAUAUCAAAAACAUUUAAGUGAAAUCACUUAAGCAAACCAUUGGUAGAUCAUCGGAUCUCGAUUUAUUUCCAUCUUCAAGUUCAAUUAUCAUGUGAGGAGUCCAGGCCGCUCAUAACCGUGAGCACGGCUGAUAUAUCAGUUUUACACUCUGCAGAGGUGGCGCAUCUUUACCCAUGAGUCGCGAUUCCCUUCUAGCCCGGGUUAGCUAGACCCGUAUUCACUUCCGAGGUGAAUGGCCAGGGUCUCACUACGAGGCUUCUCCCUAGAGUCCUCAUUACGCAAAUGCUGGAAAUGGUCAAACUGCAUAAGGCACACCUACCGGAACCAACUUAUAGUCCGGACCACAGGGUAAAGCUUUGGGAACUAUGCUCGUAUCCAAUCUGCCUGAGCCGGUACUACAAGCGCUUGCCAGAUGCCCCCGUUCCGGUCGGCCACGACCAACACCCAACAUAAGACUUCCCUAGUUAUUUAGCCAAGACCAGAGCCAUGAUAGUCCUCAUGGUAGCACUGUUUUCCCGGGUGGUCACUCCAUGUUCCAAUUAAUAUGCAAUAAUCUUGUUUAGCCAUCGGGUUAACAACAAUAAUGUAAACUUACAAUUUGGAACAUUAAUAUCAUAAACAGGAGUGACUGCAUAAAUUUAAAGUUGUAGCAAUAGCAUAGCUACUAAGGUAAAGUAUAAUUCCCAGGUUUGAUCAAGGAAUAAGGUUGGAAAGGUUAUCUAAAUAGGUAACCCGUCAAAUUAUGCAUAUAUUCAUCGAAGAAUAAACUUUAUUAAAUGUAUUGUUUGGGAUCAAACAGAGUAUGCAGAGGGAGAAGUCCACUUGCCUUGCUUAUUGAAAACUUGAGGUUCUUCCACGGGUAGGAAUAGAUCUUGAUCCUUAACUACUAGAUCAACCACUGAAUAUCACACAAACAAACAAGAAGAACAAACACCACUCAAUAACAUACAACAUUCACCAUACGUAAAGCUAAAAGAGAGCCUAACGAAAAGAGCGUUCGCUUUUCAAAAACGUCGUAGGUAAUGGUUAUAAUAAGAGAGUAUUCUUUUCAAAAAUGUGUGAUCUAUACUUUAUAAUACAAGACACGAUCUUUAAAAUAUCUUAAUUUAAAUAUACAAAUAUUAGAUUCACCAAAUUAAUCCUUUAUAAAACGUCAUAUGUGAUAUGUCUAAGAUUGAAGGUUUAUAAGAUGAUAAAACACGUAAUAACAAUAUUAAACCUUUUUUUACUUUUUAGAGAAGAUAUAUGUUAUAUAUCUAAGGUUAAUGAGUUAUAAAACACAUUAUUAAACAUUACUUUUAUAACAAGCUCAUAAAUAGCUUAAACAACUUUUUAUGUGAAAAGAUCAUAGUUAUAUUAUUAAUCACCUAUUUAAGACGAGUUAGGUUACGGGCCUUAAGUGGAUUUUCAUGCAAAAGAUAAUGAACGCAUAACUAUCAUUUAAUUUCAUUAAAAAGCACAUAGCCUAUAUUAUUAUACUUGAAGUCAAUAUAUAUAAAGUAACAUUUUAAUUUAUAAAAAACUUAAACUCUUAUUACUUUAUUUUAUCCUUUAGGAAAAGCUUAGUGAUUCAUAUAUAAUAUGCACUAAAUUCUAUGAAAUCAUUAAUCAUGUCAUAAACCUAGUUAAGAACAAAUUAACUAUAGGUUUGAUUAAUAAAUUAUGAUAAAGGAUAAUUAAUCAAAUGAUCUAGAUAAUUAAAAUGAAUACUAUAAUUAUUGGUAUAUUAUUAACUAUCAUUUUAGUUAUGAUGGUGUGAGCACUUAAUUAAGCCAUUAUAUCAUUAUUAGAAAAAUUAUAUGACAUAUUAUUAUUGUAAAGCAUAUAAUUAUGGAUACUUAAAUAUGAGACUAAAUGAGUUUUAUGUGAAGGGAUAAUAAAUGAUUAUCAUUAUGUUUUUAUUAAAAAAAAUAUAUAUGGUCUACAUAUUCUUUUAAAUUUCUAUUUAAGAAGGCUAUACUUACGCAUCUAUAAUAAACAUUGUUAAGUUAUAAAAACAUGAUAUCUAUUAAAAAUACCAUUUUAAUAUUUCUUGUAUGACAACAGAAAUUUAGAAUUAAAUUAUGAAAAAUACAUGAGCUGUUGGAAUCAUUAAUUAAAAAAAUGCUUUAUUAUAUAAUUAUGAAACUAACAAAAUCAUUUCUAAUUUAUUUAGGUUCCAAUAUACAUGUUAUUAAUAAAAACUGUAACAAGGAUCAAAACAUAAUUAAAGGUAGAUUAGGUGGGGUAGCUAAUAAAUUUAUAUUUUUGUGCACGGAUAACACUAUGAAUAACUAUCUCUUAUUUGUCGUUAAAAUAUGAAAUCUUUACUUUAAUUUCUUAUUUAGAAAAACUACGCAUAGACCAAUUAUAACAAUCACUAAUCAAAUUUAAAUUACAAACACACGUAGAUUCUUGCAGAUUGAUUUCAUGUUUUAGCACAAUUUAUGAAAUUUACAAAACAGUGUUUAUUUGAGUAUCAAAUAAAUAUUUUAAAAUAGAAAAACUGUCGCAAGGUCUAUACGCGAUUAAACAUAUACUUAAAGUGAUAGCUUGUGAUUUUCUUUUUUUACCUUCUUAUAGGUUCGGCUCGAGCAAAGCAGACUGGUUGUAGGCUUCAGUCAAAACUUCGACAAAGGCGAGGUCGCUGCAUGAGAGAUGGACGGCGAAAUAUCGGCGUGGAGCUCCAUGUGAGCAGCAAGGGGAAGAAGGAAGCUUUGGGCCGUGUUGCAGAGUAGAGAAGGUCGCCGGCGAGGAUGCGACGCAGCGCAACAGUAGAGCAGAGCACGCUGCAGAGACGACGACGCGAUGGCGUCGAACCACCGGUAAGUGUGAGCACCACGUGAGGCACCGGUGGCGAGGACAACAACGCGGACGGUGGUGUGGCAGCAGGCAGCGAAGGCGCGUUGCGACUUGCGAGCAGACUAGACGGCGCAGCAGCAAACAAGUGCCAGAGGAGAGAAGAGCGAGUGAGCAGGGCGAGGGAGAAGGGCUCAGCGUGUCGGCUUUAAGGCCGUGGGAGGUGAGGAAAUAAAGCAGCGGAAUUGAUUGACAUUGGUGCGCUACGAAAUGCCAGAGAAACGUACUGCUAUUAUUGGUGACGACUGUUAUGGCGGAGGAUACGAAAUAGUCGCGACAGUUACUGGUGGCGCGUGAGAGAGAGGAGGAAUGAAGGCAGGAAACUUGUCUCUACGCGGUC